AGAGUUUGAUCCUGGCUCAGAACGAACGCUGGCGGCAGGCUUAACACAUGCAAGUCGAGCGCAUGUCUUCGGACAUGAGCGGCAGACGGGUGAGUAACGCGUGGGAACGUACCCUUCAGUUCGGAAUAACCCAGGGAAACUUGGGCUAAUACCGGAUACGUCCGUAAGGAGAAAGGUUUACUGCUGAAGGAUCGGCCCGCGUCGGAUUAGCUAGUUGGUGGGGUAAUUGCCCACCAAGGCAACGAUCCGUAGCUGGUCUGAGAGGAUGAUCAGCCACACUGGGACUGAGACACGGCCCAGACUCCUACGGGAGGCAGCAGUGGGGAAUAUUGGACAAUGGGCGCAAGCCUGAUCCAGCCAUGCCGCGUGAGUGAAGAAGGCCCUAGGGUUGUAAAGCUCUUUCAGCGGGGACGAUAAUGACGGUACCCGCAGAAGAAGCCCCGGCUACUUCGUGCCAGCAGCCGCGGUAAUACGAAGGGGGCUAGCGUUGUUCGGAAUUACUGGGCGUAAAGCGCGCGUAGGCGGAUAUUUAAGUCAGGGGUGAAAUCCCAGGGCUCAACCCUGGAACUGCCUUUGAUACUGGAUGUCUGGAGUUCGGGAGAGGUGAGUGGAAUUCCGAGUGUAGAGGUGAAAUUCGUAGAUAUUCGGAGGAACACCAGAAGCGAAGGCGGCUCACUGGCCCGAUCNNNNNUGAGGCCGAAAGCGUGGGGAGCAAACAGGAUUAGAUACCCUAGUAGUCC
rnacentral:rRNA from 1 species